UACGGGGGGGGCAAGCGUUGUUCGGAAUUACUGGGCGUAAAGGGCUCGUAGGCGGCCAAGUAAGUCGGACGUGAAAUCCCCAGGCUCAACCUGGGAACUGCGUCCGAUACUGGAUGGCUUGAAUCCGGGAGAGGGGUGCAGAAUUCCAGGUGUAGCGGUGAAAUGCGUAGAUAUCUGGAGGAAUACCGGUGGCGAAGGCGGCAUCCUGGACCGGCAUUGACGCUGAGGAGCGAAAGCCAGGGGAGCAAACGGG
rnacentral:rRNA from 1 species